rfam:Myotis davidii contig64527, whole genome shotgun sequence.
GGCAGUGUUCCGGUGACACAGCCUGGAAUGGGGCUUCCUCCUCUCUGGUUCCGGGUGCUUCACCCGAGAACCACA